AAUUGGAGGGCAAGUCUGGUGCCAGCAGCCGCGGUAAUUCCAGCUCCAAUAGCGUAUAUUAAAGUUGUUGCAGUUAAAAAGCUCGUAGUUGAAUUUCGGGAUCAAUAUUUCGGUCAUGCCGUUGGUAUGCACUGUUAUCAUUGAUUUCUCACCUUCUAAAGAACCGUAAUGCCAUUAAUUUGGUGUUACGGGGAAUUAGGACUGUUACCUUGAAAAAAUUAGAGUGUUUAAAGCAGGCUCACGCUUGAAUACAUUAGCAUGGAAUAAUGAAAUAGGACAUCCGAUUCUAUUUUGUUGGUUUCUAGGAUCGAUGUAAUGAUUAAUAGGGAUAGUUGGGGGCAUUAGUAUUCAAUUGUCAGAGGUGAAAUUCUUGGAUUUAUUGAAGACUAACUACUGCGAAAGCAUUUGCCAAGGAUGUUUUCAUUAAUCAAGAACGAAAGUUAGGGGAUCGAAGGCGAUCAGAUACCGUCGUAGUCUUAACCAUAAACUAUGCCGACUAGGGAUCGGAUGAUGUUAAUUUUUUAAUGACUCAUUCGGCGCCUUACGGGAAACCAAAGUGU
rnacentral:rRNA from 1 species